ACUUGAUCAAGGUAAACUAUCCGUAAGGAUGGGACACAAAGCUACAGGGCCCCCGCGCAUUCUUGCAGAAUGCAAGAGCGGGGGGUUGCCAGC
rnacentral:ncRNA from 1 species